rnacentral:rRNA from 1 species
CCUACGGGAGGCAGCAGUGGGGAAUAUUGGACAAUGGGCGGAACCCUGAUCCAGCGACGCCGCGUGAGUGAAGAAGCCCCUCGGCGCGUAAAGCUCUGUCAGCAGGGAAGAAAAUGACGGUACCUGCGGACGAAGCCCCGGCUCCCGACGUGCCAGCCGCCGCGGUCAUACGUAGGGGGGAAGCGGUAUCCGGAUUUACUGGGGGUAAAGGGGGCGCAGACGGGGAUUCAAGCCAGGAGUGAAAGCCCGGGGCCCAACCCCGGGACUGCUCUUGAAACUGCGGGGCUGGAGUGCAGGAGGGGCAGGCGGAAUUCCUGGUGUAGCGGUGAAAUGCGUAGAUAUCAGGAGGAACACCGGUGGCGAAGGCGGCCUGCUGGACUGCAACUGACGUUGAGGCCCGAAAGCGUGGGGAGCAAACAGGAUUAGAUACCCGUGUAGUC